rnacentral:rRNA from 1 species
AACGAACGCUGGCGGCAGGCCUCAAACACGCAAGUCUAGGGGGUGCAGCAAUGCAUCACCGGCGGACGGGUGCGUAACGCGUGGGAAUAUACCUUUUGGUUCGGAACAACUGCGGGAAACUGCAGCUAAUACCGAAUGUGCCCUAACGGGGAAAGAUUUAUCGCCAAAGGAUUAGCCCGCGUAGGAUUAGCUAGUUGGUGAGGUAAUGGCUCACCAAGGCUCCGAUCCUUAGCUGUUCGAGAGGAAGAUCAGCCACACUGGGACUGAGACACGGCCCAGACUCCUACGGGAGGCAGCAGUUGGGAAUCUUGGACAAUGGGGAAACCCUGAUCCAGCCAUGCCGCGUGAGUGAUGAAGGCCUU